GACGAACGCUGGCGGCGUGCUUAACACAUGCAAGUCGAACGGAAAGGCCUGCUUUCCCUUGUGGAUUGCGGGUACUCGAGUGUCGAACGGGUGAGUAACACGUGAUUGCUCUGCCCCCAACUUGGGUAUAAGCCUGGGAAACUGGGUCUAAUUCCCGCUCGGACUGCAGUGUGGUGCCUGUGGUGGAAAACGAUUUUCUAGUGGUUGGGGAUGAGCUCGCGGCCUAUCAGCUUGUUGGUGGGGUAAUGGCCUACCAAGGCGGCGACGGGUAGCCGGCCUGAGGGGGGGGAACGUCACAGUGGGAAUGAGAGAAGGCCCAGCCUCGUACGGGAGGAAGCAGUGGGGAAUAUAGGAGCAUGGGGGGAAGCCUGAUGCAGCGACGCAGGGUGGGGGAUGACGGCCUUCGGGUGGUAAACUCCUUUCGACCGCGAGGAAGCCACCUGGUUGGAAGGGUGGUGACGGUAGUGGUAGAAGAAGCACCGGCUAACUACGUG
rnacentral:rRNA from 1 species